GGGAGAGACACUGCAGCCACUGCCAGGACAAGCAGCAUGUAGAGACUCUGGGUCCUGCACACGUUUAACUUGUGGGUGGUUGAGUUGGCAGAUAUGAAACCUGAGGACGGAGGUCAGACUGUGUCUAAAAACAGAUCAGACAGCCUUCAUCAUCAGUCACUGAAACGGUAUCAAGCACCUUCUGUAUCCCUACCCUGUGGUAUCACCACAUAGUGCCAUGGUGAACAGGAUAGGUUCCGUUUGAAGAAGCCAACCUGUCGGAAGCACACAUUGAAUGGACACACGUCCAGAGACCGGCCGCCCCACAAGACCUGAAGAUGUCCAGAGACCGGCCUCCCCUGCAAGACCUGAAGACGUCCAGAGACCGGCCGCCCCUGAAAGACGUGAUGUCUUAUGCUGACAGAUAGGAUACAAUGGCACCUGCUUGGAGGACGGGGGAUAUCUGCAUGUUUGCUUCUCAGAGAUAUUUAUUUAUUUAUUUAUUUAUUUAUUUAUUUAUUUAUUUAUUUAUUUAUUUAUUUAUUUAUUUAUUUAUGUUUUUCGAGACAGGGUUUCUCGGUGCAGCUUUGGAGACUAUCCUGGAUCUCAC